rnacentral:rRNA from 1 species
UGGGGAAUCUUGCGCAAUGGGCGAAAGCCUGACGCAGCGACGCCGCGUGCGGGAGGAAGCUCUUCGGGGUGUAAACCGCUGUCAGGGGGGAAGAACGGACGGGGGAGGAAAUGCUCCCGUUUUGACGGUACCUCCAGAGGAAGCACCGGCUAACUCUGUGCCAGCAGCCGCGGUAAUACAGAGGGUGCGAGCGUUGUUCGGAAUUACUGGGCGUAAAGCGCGCGCAGGCGGCCCUUUAAGUCCGUCGGUCAAAUGCCGGGGCUCAACCCCGUUGCAUGCCGAGGAUACUGGAGGGCUGGAGACACGUAGAGGCAAGCGGAAUUCCGGGUGUAGCGGUGGAAUGCGUAGAGAUCCGGAAGAACACCGGAGGCGAAGGCGGCUUGCUGGGCGUGAUCUGACGCUGAGGCGCGAAAGCGUGGGGAGCGAACAG